rnacentral:rRNA from 1 species
GUGGGGAAUCUUGCGCAAUGGGCGAAAGCCUGACGCAGCCAUGCCGCGUGAAUGAUGAAGGUCUUAGGAUUGUAAAAUUCUUUCACCGGGGACGAUAAUGACGGUACCCGGAGAAGAAGCUCCGGCUAACUUCGUGCCAGCAGCCGCGGUAAUACGAAGGGGGCUAGCGUUGCUCGGAAUUACUGGGCGUAAAGGGCGCGUAGGCGGACAGCUUAGUCAGAGGUGAAAGCCCAGGGCUCAACCUUGGAAUUGCCUUUGAUACUGGCUGUCUUGAGUACGGGAGAGGUGAGUGGAACUCCGAGUGUAGAGGUGAAAUUCGUAGAUAUUCGGAAGAACACCAGUGGCGAAGGCGACAUACUGGUCCAUUACUGACGCUGAGGCUCGAAAGCGUGGGGAGCAAACAGGAUUAGAUACCCGAGUAGUCC